ensembl:lncRNA
AUGCCACAUACCAAUUUUUUUGUCACACAAACUCGUUUUCUCUUUUCAGAUGUGUGCAAACCUCAGUCAGAUCAGUUUACUACUUGCCAGCAUUUGAUGGGUGAUGUGAAAUAUGUGACCUUGGACCACAAAACCAGUCAUAAAGGGUCACAUAUGUUUUGGUCUCCUGAAGUCCAGUGAAGAAACAUGGAAGACAGGAAGACAGUAUAGGCUACAUAUUCCUUGAGGUAUUAUGAUUAUUUAUUUAUUUAUGUUUUUAAUUGUGAGUAAGAAUGUUUUACUUUUGGUCGAGUCCAGUAUUGCACAUGAGAAUUUUUAUUUUAUUUUUUAAACAUUGCAGAAGUAAUUCAAUAUUCUUUAGAUCAUGUAUGUACAUCUGUUUAUUCCUGCACCAAUAAGCAUUAAAUAUGGCAAUCAUUGACCAGAACUGACUGUGAGCACACAUCUGAGCACCAAAAGUACAUUUUUAUUCCUGUUUUUGCAACAAUUUCUUGCUUGAAUAUUGAAAUUAUGAACCAGAACUAUUAAAGCACACUAGAACCCCAAAAGUAACAGUUGAUUGUUGACUGAUUAAACUGCAGAAAGUGAGGGUGACGUCAAUGUCAUGAAACCUGACCAAAGAAAUCUAAAAUCAAAAGGAAAAUAAGAAAUAUUUUUUUAAGGGAAAAUUACAAUUAUUCUUAGGAAUAUUUAUUUAUUUAGGAUAUGAUUAAUUUAGGAUUAAGUUUUUUUUAUACAAUAUAUUAUAAAAAAAAAAAAAAAAAAAAUUCACUCAGUUUUCAAUGUUUUCCAAAAAAGCCUUUUUUACAGGAUCAUUGUUAAUGUUUCCUAGACAGAGCAUUUAAUGAAGAUGAUAGCAUUUGCAUAGAUUUAAGUGAAAGGAAAAGAGGAGUAUAGUUCCUUCAGCUGCUGCAGAGUCGAGGUGAGGUGAACUUUGCCCUCUCGCUGAGUGUUACCCAUGACCUCGCUGAUCUUUAGUGGACUCAUAUUCAGAUCAAAGAUGAGGCUGUAGUUCUGUAUCAGGCGUUUGGCUUGCUCUCUAUCCACAUAACCUGAAAUCAAUUCAUUGUACAAAAUUUGAUUAUUGAUUUUAUUCUAUCAUUUUCUAUGACUCACAGUGUUUUAAAUCACUUUUAAACUGUAAAGACUGUAUUUGUAUGAUGGGUUUUAUACCUGUGUUUCUGGUGUCACACAUUUGUAAGGCCAUCUCCAUCUUCUGGAACCUCUGAAGCCAUGUCUCUCUUUGUUCUUCAUUUAUAUCGCUCCAGUCGCUCACUGAUUCCAGGUCAGUACUGCCCACUGACGCAUCCCAGAUCUCUGCCUGAGGAUCAUGUUCAAAAACAUCCAUCAAAAUGUGUUUCUCUAUUUCAGAAAGCUGCAGACAGUAUGAAAUGAUAAUAUUCUAGUUAAUUUUUUAAGGCUUAUUGAAAGACCUCAACACUUUGCUGUUUCACGUCUUGUACAGCCUUCUGUAUGAACUGCAGCAAGUCUUGAUAGUGCACCUGCAAAGCAGCAUGAUAAAGUAAAAAUCACUUCACAUGAAAAAUUACAAACUUUUAUGAAAAUAAUUCAAAUAUAAAACCAUAUAUGCGUAAAAGCAC